rnacentral:snRNA from 1 species
GUGCUCGCUUCAGCAACACAUACACUAAAAUUGGAACGAUACAGAGAAGAUUAGCAUGGCCCCUGUGCAAGGAUGACAUGCAAAUUUCUGAAGCAUUCCAUAUUUUU